GGGAUCUCCUCCAUGCAGGUGUCUUGGGCACACAUGGGUGUUGUGGGCAUCAUAAGGGUGACUCCUGCUCCUGUACACACACAGUGACUUUGCCCACUGCAGACGCUGAGCUGUAGGACAUCUUGGAGGUGAGGGAAGACAGCACUGCCUCCCUCUGAUGGCCAGGCCUGCCAAUAGAGACCAACCAGAAGAACAUAGAAGGGUAGAGGAGUGGUCUUCCUCACCUACAGUUGGUGACUCCAGCGGGACCAACUUAACUUGCUGGAUGCUUCUUGCUCAGGGGCUAUGGCAGCUGACAGAUCUUGGACCCUGACAAGAGUUGGCAGGAGGACAUAAUUGGAAACUUGGGCAAUAUUACCAAGGCUUUGACUGGAAUGUCUUAUCUGAGAGAGACAUGCAUAGAUUCAGAUGUGACCAGACAACUCUAAGGAGCAAAGGUUGACUUUAUGGACAAAAUAAAUCCCCUUGGAAAUAUUUGCCUGGUACCUUGCUACAGGGUUCCCAACAACCUUACCAGAAUCAUUGAGAACUAAAGCUGCCCUUUUCCUGAAGCCCUGUAAACUGAAGCUGCGAGACUUAUUAUCAACUUAAGAGAGAUCGCCACAAUAGCGCAUGUUUAAACAAUCUUCAUGCUUGUUGCUGUGUAAGCCACUCAGAAAGUUACCUGAACACCUGAUGACAUCAUCAGAGACAUUUCAAACUGGAAAAGAUGCUUCAACCCCUACAUCUAGGAAUCUUCUCUUGACUGGCUGCUCUCCAGACUAAGACUGGGUUUAUAGUCUCCUCCAAACAUUACCUUUUAGUUUUGUUUUUGUUUCCAUAGAAAUGCCUCUUUUUAAAUACCUGAUUGCUUGCUUACACAAUAUAGGCCCAACUUUGGGAGACCACCUGCAUCACCACCUCCUGAAAUGAGACAAAACUGUUUAACUGAACUGAGCUAUUCUCAGGACUGAAUGACUGGUUCAGAGAACUAUGGAGAAAUCUAUCACCUUAGGUUCUGGACUCUGAAUCUUUUUAUUUGAGGUUUCAAAGGCAGGAUGGAAGGGGAACAGAAUUUGCCACCCCAAAAUAUGUCUCUUUGGGAUGUUGAUUAUUUUAUGUUGAUAUUCUUUAAGAAACAGAAAACUCAGAACAUUUUUCUUUUACUUCCCCUGUAACCACCUAAAAGAAUUUAGAUAAAUGGCCUGUAACAGGAACAGAGCUAUCACCAGAGAUAUCUACAAAGAAAAUGGGCCAGGUGUGGUGGGGAGACUUGUCAGGGCCUAGAGAUCAGAGUCCUCUCCAUGUCCCGUUGUCUCUGC